rnacentral:rRNA from 1 species
UACGGAGGAUGCAAGCGUUAUCCGGAAUUAUUGGGCGUAAAGCGUGCGCAGGCGGUUUUGUAAGACUGUCGUGAAAUCCCCGGGCUUAACCUGGGAAUGGCGAUGGUGACUGCAAGGCUAGAGUUUGGCAGAGGGGGGUAGAAUUCCACGUGUAGCAGUGAAAUGCGUAGAGAUGUGGAGGAACACCGAUGGCGAAGGCAGCCCCCUGGGUCAAAACUGACGCUCAUGCACGAAAGCGUGGGGAGCAAACAGG